rfam:Gorilla gorilla gorilla genomic chromosome, chr17, whole genome shotgun sequence
GUCCUUUUAUAGUUGAUGAGCAUGAUGAUUGGGUGUUCACACCCAUGUGUGAAAUGUCCCACCCUCAAAUCUUGUUACAAUAUUGGCAUAUUACCCAUCUGACA